rnacentral:rRNA from 1 species
UACGUAGGUGGCAAGCGUUGUCCGGAUUUAUUGGGUUUAAGGGGUGCGUAGGCGGUUCCAUAAGUCAGUGGUGAAAUACGGCAGCUUAACUGUCGAGGUGCCAUUGAUACUGCGGAACUUGAGUACUGAUGAGGUAGGCGGAAUUGACGGUGUAGCGGUGAAAUGCUUAGAUAUCGUCAAGAACACCGAUAGCGAAGGCAGCUUACCAAGCAGUAACUGACGCUGAGGCACGAAAGUGCGGGGAUCAAACAGG